rnacentral:rRNA from 1 species
AGCAGCCGCGGUAAUUCCAGCUCCAAUAGCGUAUAUUAAAGUUGUUGCAGUUAAAAAGCUCGUAGUUGAAUUUCGGGAUCAGUAGGUUGGUCAUGCCUCUGGUAUGUACUGGUCUUACUGGUUCCUCCUUCCUGAUGAACCGUAAUGCCAUUAAUUUGGUGUUGCGGGGAAACUGGACUGUUACUUUGAAAAAUUAGAGUGUUUAAAGCAGGCUAACGCUUGAAUACAUUAGCAUGGAAUAAUGAAAUAGGACGUUCGAUCCUAUUUUGUUGGUUUCUAGGAUUGACGUAAUGAUUAAUAGGGAUAGUUGGGGGCAUUAGUAUUCAAUUGUCAGAGUGAAAUUCUUGGAUUUAUUGAAGACUAACUACUGCGAAAGCAUUUGCCAAGGAUGUUU